CGGCGCGCGGCAGGAAACGGGCGGCGCGCGCGCGCUCGCUGAGGGCCGAGGCGGGCCCGGCCCUGAGGGGAGAAGCGGCGGGACGGGAGCGGGAAUGGAACGAUCGCCAGGUCCUCUUCAGCCCCAUGCAGCUCAGAGGUGUCCCGGUCACCACAUCUGUACUGUCAGUGGGCAUUGGGCUGGGUGACCUUCAGAGGUUCCUUCCAACAGGAUUUUUCUAUGGUUGCCUUCAGGAGCUUGGCUACAUUUGAGAACAGCUACAUCUAAUGGCACUGAAUUACAAAAAGUUCUUGAGAUGGACUGCCUGUUAUCCAGGAAGGCCAAGCAUUCAUCUGACCUCAGCACAGCCUUUAAAGUGUAAGAGGACUAAAGAGAAAAGAAAAUAAAUUACUGCAUAAGACAACAAAUGGGAACAAAAUCAUUGCAAGAAGAUACCAGGCAGGACACUUCCGGUGAUGCUCAUUACUUCUUGAGGGAGACUGGGUACUGGGUGAAUCCAGUUUUGGGGCUGGUUUAAGAAAACCAACAUGGCAUUGGAAAACCCAACCAGCAGUAUUGUAGCAGCUGCUGAUUAGCAAGCCCUGGAAGGUGACAGCCCGUGGUGUAGUCUCCAGCAGGGUAUAGGAAUUGUGCUCAUAGGAAGAGCUGUUUCCCUCAAGCUUUUCAGCAAUUAGUUAGCUCUUCACUGCCUGAGUAGGCACAAAGGGUUUACAGAUGUAUUUAUUAUUCCUAAACAGGCCAUACAAAGAGUAGUUUUUAAUUUUUACUGGUUUACCUGAAGAUUAUUUUAUUCCAGGGCAUGAAAGGCUUCAUGCCCCCUGCUCCAAAAUCUAGGAGCAAGACAGAUCACUGAAAGGCAAUCAUGCUUCUUUUCACAGUGAAAACGACCAAAUAUUCAAAUGAUUCAUACAUUCAAGUAAAACCAAAAUACACACAUGCAAAAUUUCAGUAAUUGAACACAAACAUGUCAUCAUUAAUCCAUUCUCAGUGCAAGUGAAUGCCAAGACAAUUCCUGAAUAUCCUGAAAUGAGCACCUUAAGAGCUGAAAUAGACUCAUCUGCUUAAUUAAUUGCUACCUUUGUUGGAUGAGGAGUGUGGCAAUUUGCACAUAGCAAUAUUUAUACAAGUAAUGCCACAGGCUUCAUUGUUGCUGCCCACCUCUCUACCCACCAAACCCACCUGGAUUAUAAUCACCACCUUCAGACAACCCCUGUUGCACACACGAAUUUCAUUCAUUCAAGCACAUUGAUCUGGAGAUAUUUUUGCUUCCUAGUCCCUUCCCCCCCCCAAAAGAUUUAAUUCAAUAGCUGUUACAGACAUGGCAUUUUAUUCUGAGAAGGAUUGUAUUUGUGUUUAUUCUUCGAGCUAAGUGUUUUGUUUAAUAUGCUUGUUGUAAAUAAACUCUAUUACCCCUUGUGGUAAAAGGCCACAAGUUCCUA